UAUGUGAUCGUCUCUCGCAUAUCAAUAAGCGGAGGAAAAGAAACUAACAAGGAUUCCCCUAGUAACGGCGAGUGAAGCGGGAAGAGCUCAAAUUUGAAAUCUUAAAGGGUUUCCCUUUACGAAUUGUAGUUUAAAGAAGUGUUUUCUGUUGAGGUUUUGGUAAAAGUUCAUUGGAAUAGGACAUCAUAGAGGGUGAGAAUCCCGUAUUUGACCUUUACUUUCAACUUUGUGAUACACUUUCAAAGAGUCGGAUUGUUUGGGAUGCAGUCCAAAAUGGGUGGUAAAUUUCAUCUAAAGCUAAAUAUUGGCGAGAGACCGAUAGCGAACAAGUACCGUGAGGGAAAGAUGAAAAGAACUUUGAAAAGAGAGUUAAACAGUACGUGAAAUUGUCAAAAGGGAAGCGUUUGACACCAGUGUUGUUUUUCUGAAAAUCAAUUAAAGAACUGUUUAUGCUAAGUUGUUUAGACUUUAUCAGCUAUCUGCUUAGUUUUGAGCUUUUCUUUAAUGCACUUUUCAGUUAACAAGUCAACAUCAAUUUCUUUUGCUGUAAAAAAGCUUGAGGAAGGUGGCUUGAGAUUCGUCUUAAGUGUUUAUAGCCUCUUGCCUAUGCAGUCGGAGAGAUUGAGGUCUGCAGCUGUAGAUCCUUCGGGGCUAAAUGCAUUUGUGCUAAGUUACUAGCAUUUUAUAGACAACUUGUUGACUAUGAUUUGUCUUGUAGCUUACUCGCUUAUGUUAUUUUACCUACGCUUAGGAUGUUGACGAGACUGUCGAUCUCAUCUAUACAUGACUCUGUGCAUAUCAAUAAGCGGAGGAAAAGGAGUAUACCUACGCUUAGGAUGUUGACGAUCAGCUGAGCGCG
rnacentral:rRNA from 1 species